rnacentral:rRNA from 1 species
GUUAGAGGUUCGAAGGCGAUCAGAUACCGCCCUAGUUCUAACCAUAAACGAUGCCAGCCAGCGAUCCGGCUGUGUUCCUCAAAUGACACGCCGGGCAGCUUCCGGGAAACCAAAGCUUUUGGGUUCCGGGGGAAGUAUGGUUGCAAAGCUGAAACUUAAAGGAAUUGACGGAAGGGCACCACCAGGAUUGGAGCUUGCGGUUUAAUUUGACUCAACACGGGACAACCUACCCGGCCCGGACACAGGAAGGAUUGACAGAUUAAGAGCUCUUUCUUGAUUCUGUGGGUGGUGGUGCAUGGCCGUUCUUAGUUGGUGGACUGAUUUGUCUGGUUAAUUCCGUUAACGAACGAGACUCUAGCCUACUAAAUAGACGUUCCGAUUAUUUAUUUUUCGGACGUUCUUCUUAGAGGGACAAUCGGCGCUUAGCCCGAUGAGACAGAGCAAUAACAGGUCUGUGAUGCCCUUUGAUGUCCGGGGCCACACGCGUGCUACAUUGAAGGAAUCAGCGUGUGCUUUCCCUGUCCGACAGGACUGGGUAACCCGUUGAACCUCCUUCGUGCUGGGGAUAGGGGCUUGUAAUUGUUCCCCUUGAACGAGGAAUUCCUAGUAAGCACGAAUCAUCAGUUCGUGUUGACUAAGUCCCUGCCCUUUGUCCACACCGCCCGUCGCUACUACCGAUUGAAUGAUUUAG